CAAAGAGAGAGGUAGGAGAAAUGAGGACAGAUAGUGUAGGGGGCAAAAGAUGUUCUCUGAAUCAGGCAAGGACAAGCAAAUGAGCACUGAAUUUGCACAAGCAAAUGAUGUUCUAGCUAGGUGUGAGAACUCGCUGCUCAUUAUCGUGCUUGGCAAAACCAGGGGAAGCUACAUAAACUCUGCAGAACCACAGGAUUUGGGGCACAAUUCUGCUUCCCCUUACAGCAGUUCCUCCUGAUGAUCCCCACAGCUGCAGCAAGGUGGCAGAUAGCUUAUUCCAACACAAAGCAAGAAUUUUACAGACAUCUGAAAGAACUGUCAAGGAAUGAAGACUAAGGAAUGCUGUUGUUGUCCUUUGCCACCUUCAGAUGGUCCCCUCGUGUCUGGAAAUGCCCUUUGCUGCACCUGGGACAGAGUGGUGCUAAGCUUUUAAUGACCUAUAACGUGCGUUUGCACCAACACAAACAGAGGCAGCCAACGCCGUGGCAGAGCACUGGUCAUCAGCGAUGGCAAACAAACACUGCUGUCAUCUGGGUAGUCAACAACCUGCUCAUCACGGCUGAGCUACGAGACAGCCCUAAAGGCUACAGACAGCUCCGGCUGGUCCGCAGGGAUCAGCUGGCCAGACCCCCUGCUGUUGGGCAAAUGCCAAUAAGGGAAGUGCUGAGCACCCUUAGCUUCUACUUUACAACAUAGGCGCUGCAGCAAUCCAGGGGAACAGAAAGGAGAAACAAAUCGAAUGCCUCUAUGUGGAAGAAAUGUCAUUAUGCCUUGAAGUGAUGGAACAGUGAGAGUGGAACAAAAGGGAAAAGGAGUGAUGACUACUUGCAUCUCCCAGGAUUGCAAAAAUUUGGAUGUCACUCAGCCUCUAUGGAAAACAGCUGCUCAGCCCUUCAAUAAAAGCAGUGCUCCAAAUUAGUGAAGUCAUGUUUUACUUUCAAGGCUUUAUUAUGAAAUUUGUUAAAGGAUAACAAAAAUAAUUAAACACCUUACAUAUGCUGCUGUAGAUAAGCACUGUGAUAAGCAGAUCAAGAGAUAUUAUUGUAGUUACUCAUCAUUUGUGAGGCCCAUAUUGACUGUUUCACAGAUGACAUAUUUCACAGACAAAUAAAGGGAUAUGAUGAGAGGGCUUUGGGAGUGAAACAUCUCACUGCAUUAAUGAAGACAGCUCCAUUAGUCUUAAGGGACAGACAACUUCUCAUUCAUGCCCACAGAAAUUUUUAACUUUGACAUCUUUUCUUCCUUCACUCCCCCCACUCGUCCCUUUUUUCUGUCACUCUAAUUCAGCAAAAUCUGGUUUUGUAGCAACCUGCAAUGUCUCCAGCAGCAAGGUAUUCUGGAAAGCUGUUUCCUUCCCAGUGAGCUGCAGACUACCUUCACCCCUGCUAAAAGCAGAGCUUGCUAACUAGUAGCACCUGGUCUGUUGACUGUAGAUAGCCUUGUGUGCUUUGAUAUUUCAAACCCUGGCAAGAUUGCAAAUAUCAGGCUCAGAGCAACAAGAGUCCACUAUCCUCAGUUUUACUCUCAUUUACUCUCUUUAUGCUCAUUGCACAGUACAGGAAAGAAGCCUUUGCAUGCAUUACCUCCAACACUUGUUGGGAAUGACAAGGCAAACAUCUUCCCCACUAACAAAGAAAAGGGGAAAUAACACCAUGCUCUCCCUUAUUGUCCUGCCUUGAUUCAGUGGGAACUAACAGUCAAUGAAGGCAACAGGUUUGAUUACUCCUUGCAACUAUACGGAUUUCUUCAAGAAGAUAAACAGUAAUAUUUGCAUAACUUCCAUUUUAAGGACCUAGGUGAAAUAACCCUCCCUAUACUUUGGAUUACGCUCCUUUUGUUAGGCAGGGUGUGCUAUCUAUGAAAAAACAAACAGCUAUUUUAAAAAAUUACAUCCUGGUUUCUCUUUUGCCCUCUACCCCACAUAUUACAAAGUUCUAAGAGCUUUGUUGUCAUCCAGAAGGAGGUUAAGCCCUCCUUCAAAUCCCAACUGAUACAUAGGUAAUCACUCCCAAAUCCCCAGUAUGUUGAUAUAUACUA